AUUGAACGCUGGCGGCAUGCUUUACACAUGCAAGUCGAACGGUAACAGGCCGCAAGGUGCUGACGAGUGGCGAACGGGUGAGUAAUGCAUCGGAACGUUCCCAGUCGUUUGGGGUAACUACUCGGAAGAGUAGCUAAUACCCCAUACGAUCUAUGCAUGAAAUCGGGGGACCGUAAGGCCUCUCUCGAUUGGAGCGUCCGAUGUCGGAUUAGGUAGUUGUUGGGGUAAAGGUUCACCAAGCCAACGAUCUGUAGCUGGUCUGAUAGGACGACCAGCCACACUGCGACUGAGACACGGCCCAGACUCCUACGGGAGGCAGAAGUGGGGAAGUUUGGACGAAGGGCGCAAGCCUGAUCAAGCAAUGACGCGUGAAGGAAGCAGGCCUUCGGGUUGUAAACUGCUUUUGUACGGAACGAAACGGCUCUGGUUAAUACCCGGGGCUAAUGACGGUACCGUAAGAAUAGGCACCGGCUAACUACGUG
rnacentral:rRNA from 1 species